GGCGCCGACGACGAGCCCCGGGCCAGCACCAUCGUCAUGCUCAGGAUGCUGCCCCAGGCGGCCACCGAGAACGACAUCCGGGCGCAGCUCCAGGCUCAGGGGGUUCAGCCCCGUGAGGUGCGGCUGAUGCGCAACAAAUCCUCAGGUCAGAGCCGAGGAUUCGCCUUCGUGGAAUUCCAUCACGUGCAGGAGGCGGCCAGGUGGAUGGAGGCCA